UACGUAGGUGACCAGCGUUGUCCGGAUUUACUGGGCGUAAAGAGCGCGCAGGCGGUCGUUCAAGUCGAGUGUGAAAGCCCCCGGCUCAACUGGGGAGGGUCACUUGAUACUGAUCGACUGGAAGGCAGGAGAGGGAAGCGGAAUUCCCCGGUGUAGUGGUGAAAUGCGUAGAUAUGCGGAGGAACACCGAUGGCGAAGGCAAUCCCCUGGACCUGUACUGACGCUCAUGCACGAA
rnacentral:rRNA from 1 species